ACUCGCAUCAAUGCCUCGGUCUCGUCAUUUAACAUUCAAGCAAAUUGUUUCUGCUCGGCGGGAAUGAAUUUGAAGCCGUACAAUAUUGCGGACCAAAACGGAACCAUGGACAGAAUGUGUUGACACUGUCGUCUUCAUUGGAUUCAAGUUUUACCGGUCUGCAGAGUGAAAGCAUUACACAACACCCACCAACAACCUGGAUAGUUAUCCGCUAGCAGAUCAACUGAGGUUCAAGCAAGAGAUGCAAGAGACAACGAGGAAGUAAAACAUGAGAAAAGCAAACCAUUCACAUUUAUAAAGCUGGACUGAGAGAAGACCAGAGGAUAAAGAGAGAGAGAAGGGAAUGGAGCGGAGCAGGAUGCCCUCGGCCCUCUGUAGGAUGAUGUCGUCUAUCUGCCGGUCUCCCGUUUUCUCUUGAUCGGGGAUGCUCUGUCCUCGAGCCACGGUCAGGUUGCAGACUGCCAGAGAUGCCAGAAUGAUCAGGCAGGUGGACUUCAUGGUAACUUGGCCAUUCGUUCGAAAACAAGAGAAGAUAUCAUUAUUAUUGAAAAUAUACUUGAUUACUUAAAAAAACAUGCAUCCUAUAUGAUAUUUGGUUGACAUUGGCAUUGUAUAACUAAUUUGGAGUUCUCUGUCUGUUUUACGCACAUAGUACGUUUCAAUAGCCUAUUGGUCCGUAAAACUGGAAAAUCCUUUAUGAAUAGAUAUUUGCAAACUAUUUUGCAAUGCACAAACUGAAGGUACAGAGAUAUUAUCUAAUGUAAAAAAAAAAUAUAUAUAUAUAUAUAUAUAUAUAUUUGAGGUGAUCCAAACUUACCUUAGAUUUGUGUUCUGGCUAUUGUCACUCGCAACACCUCUGAUAACCUUCAAUUAUAGCAAAC